GUGGGGAAUAUUGCACAAUGGGGGAAACCCUGAUGCAGCGACGCCGCGUGAGUGAAGAAGUAUUUCGGUACGUAAAGCUCUAUCAGCAAGGAAGAAAAUGACGGUACUUGACUAAGAAGCCCCGGCUAACUACGUGCCAGCAGCCGCGGUAAUACGUAGGGGGCAAGCGUUAUCCGGAUUUACUGGGUGUAAAGGGAGCGUAGACGGUAUGGUAAGUCAGCUGUGAAAGCCCGGGACUCAACCCCGGGACUGCAUUUGAAACUAUCAGACUAGAGUGCAGGAGAGUUAAGUGGAAUUCCUAGUGUAGCGGUGAAAUGCGUAGAUAUUAGGAGGAACACCAGUGGCGAAGGCGGCUUACUGGACUGUAACUGACGUUGAGGCUCGAAAGCGUGGGGAGCAAACAGGAUUAGAAACCCUUGUAGUCC
rnacentral:rRNA from 1 species